UCCGCCUACGGGAGGCAGCAGUAGGGAAUUUUCGUCAAUGGGCGCAAGCCUGAACGAGCGACGCCGCGUGAGUGAAGAAGGCCUUCGGGUCGUAAAGCUCUGUUGCGGGGGAAAAAAGGCAGCAUCAGGAAAUGGGUGCUGACUGAUGGUGCCCCGCCAGAAAGUCACGGCUAACUACGUGCCAGCAGCCGCGGUAAUACGUAGGUGGCGAGCGUUAUCCGGAAUGAUUGUGCGUAAAGGGUGCGCAGGCGGUCCUGCAAGGCUGGAGAGAAACGCAUGAGCUCAACUCA
rnacentral:rRNA from 1 species